UGGGGAAUCUUGCGCAAUGGGCGAAAGCCUGACGCAGCGACGCCGCGUGCGGGAGGAAGCUCUUCGGGGUGUAAACCGCUGUCAGGGGGGAAGAACGGGCCGGGGAGGCAAUGCCCCGGUUUUGACGGUACCCCCAGAGGAAGCACCGGCUAACUCUGUGCCAGCAGCCGCGGUAAUACAGAGGGUGCGAGCGUUGUUCGGAAUUACUGGGCGUAAAGCGCGCGCAGGCGGCUUCUUAAGUCCGACGGUGAAAUGCCGGGGCUCAACCCCGUGCCCGCCGCGGAUACUGGGGAGCUGGAGACACGUAGAGGCAAGCGGAAUUCCGGGUGUAGCGGUGGAAGCGUAGAGAUCCGGAAGAACACCGGAGGCGAAGGCGGCUUGCUGGGCGUUGUCUGACGCUGAGGCGCGAAAGCGUGGGGAGCGAACAGG
rnacentral:rRNA from 1 species